AGCGAACGCUGGCGGCAGGCCUAACACAUGCAAGUCGAACGGAUCCUUCGGGAUUAGUGGCGGACGGGUGAGUAACACGUGGGAACGUGCCCUUUGGUUCGGAACAACUCAGGGAAACUUGAGCUAAUACCGGAUGUGCCCUGCGGGGGAAAGAUUUAUCGCCAUUGGAGCGGCCCGCGUCUGAUUAGCUAGUUGGUGAGGUAACGGCCCACCAAGGCGACGAUCAGUAGCUGGUCUGAGAGGAUGAUCAGCCACACUGGGACUGAGACACGGCCCAGACUCCUACGGGAGGCAGCAGUGGGGAAUCUUGCGCAAUGGGCGAAAGCCUGACGCAGCCAUGCCGCGUGAAUGAUGAAGGUCUUAGGAUUGUAAAAUUCUUUCAGCGGGGACGAUAAUGACGGUACCCGCAGAAGAAGCUCCGGCUAACUUCGUG
rnacentral:rRNA from 1 species